UACGAAGGGGGCUAGCGUUGCUCGGAAUCACUGGGCGUAAAGCGCACGUAGGCGGACUCUUAAGUCGGUGGUGAAAUCCUGGAGCUCAACUCCAGAACUGCCUCCGAUACUGGGAGCCUUCGAGUCCGGGGAGAGGUGAGUGGAACUGCGAGUGUAGAGGUGAAAUUCGUAGAUAUUCGCAAGAACACCAGUGGGCGAAGGCGGCUCACUGGCCCGGUACUGACGCUGAUGCGCGAAAGCGUGGGUAGCAAACAGG
rnacentral:rRNA from 1 species